UUAGUAAAUGUUACUGAUCUCAUGGCUUCUUGGACUGACUGUUUCCUAGCCUCCAAACUAGCAUACUGUUGGAAGUGUAGUAGUAUACCCUAGUGGCCUAUUACUUUGUCGUUGGAAGAAAAACAUUAUUAUUAGCUUCUCUCUUGAGCUGAAACUAUGCGCCUUAAAAGCUGAGGUUAUGGUUCUUGGUUUGAGUGUUUCACACCAAA
rnacentral:lncRNA from 1 species